AGAACGAACGCUGGCGGCAUGCCUAACACAUGCAAGUCGAACGAUCUCUUCGGAGAUAGUGGCGCACGGGUGCGUAACGCGUGGGAAUCUGCCCUUGGGUUCGGAAUAACAGUUGGAAACGACUGCUAAUACCGGAUGAUGACGUUAAGUCCAAAGAUUUAUCGCCCAGGGAUGAGCCCGCGUAGGAUUAGCUAGUUGGUGAGGUAAAGGCUCACCAAGGCGACGAUCCUUAGCUGGUCUGAGAGGAUGAUCAGCCACACUGGGACUGAGACACGGCCCAGACUCCUACGGGAGGCAGCAGUGGGGAAUAUUGGACAAUGGGCGAAAGCCUGAUCCAGCAAUGCCGCGUGAGUGAUGAAGGCCUUAGGUGUAAAGCUCUUUUACCGGAUGAUAAUGACAGUACGGAGAAUAAGCUCCGGCUAACUCCGCGCCAGCAGCCGC
rnacentral:rRNA from 1 species